rnacentral:rRNA from 1 species
AUUGAACGCUGGCGGCAUGCUUUACACAUGCAAGUCGAACGGUAACAGGUUAAGCUGACGAGUGGCGAACGGGUGAGUAAUGCAUCGGAACGUGCCCGAUCGUGGGGGAUAACGCAGCGAAAGCUGCGCUAAUACCGCAUACGAUCUGAGGAUGAAAGCGGGGGACCGUAAGGCCUCGCGCGAUCGGAGCGGCCGAGGUCAGAUUAGGUAGUGGGUGGGGUAAAGGCUCACCAAGCCAACGAUCUGUAGCUGGUCUGAGAGGACGACCAGCCCCACUGGGACUGAGCAACGGCCCAGACUCCUACGGGAGGCAGCAGUGGGGAAUUUUGGACAAUGGGCGAAACCCUGAUCCAGAAAUGCCGCGUGCAGGAAGAAGGCCUUCGGGUUGUAAACUGCUUUUGUACGGAGCGAAAAGGUCUCCUCUAAUACAGGGGGCUCAUGACGGUACCGUAAGAAUAAGCACCGGCUAACUACGUGCCAGCCGCCGCCGUAA